rnacentral:rRNA from 1 species
UGAGCAAUCUGCCCUUCUCUUCGGAAUAAGCGUUGGAAACGACGUCUAAUGCCGAAUACGACCUCCUUUCGCAUGAUCGGAGGUGGAAAGCUCCGGCGGAGAAGGAUGAGCUCGCGGCCUAUCAGCUAGUUGGUGAGGUAAUGGCUCACCAAGGCGACGGACGGGUAGCCGGCCUGAGGAGGGUGACCGGCCACACGUGGGACUGAGACACGGCCCAGACCUCCGUACGGGGAGCA